rnacentral:rRNA from 1 species
UGAGUGAUGAAGGCCCUAGGGUCGUAAAGCUCUUUCGCCAGGGAUGAUAAUGACAGUACCUGGUAAAGAAACCCCGGCUAACUCCGUGCCACCAGCCGCGGUAAUACGGAGGGAGUCAACGUUGAUCGGAAUUACUGGUCGGAAAGAGCACGUAGGCGAAUAAGAAAGUUGGGGGUGAAAUCCCGGAGCUCAGCCCCGAAACUGCCUCCAAAACUAUUGGUCUAGAGUUCGAGAGAGGUGAGUGGAAUUCCGAGUGUAGAGGUGAAAUUCGUAGAUAUUCGGAGGAACACCAGUGGCGAAGGGGCUCACUGGCUCGAUACUGACGCUGAGGAGCGAAAGUGUGGGGAGCAAACAGGAUUAGAUACCCUGGUAGUCCACACCGUAAACGAUGAAUGCCAGUCGUCGGGCAGUAUACUGUUCGGUGACACACCUAACGGAUUAAGCAUUCCGCCUGGGGAGUACGGUCGCAAGAUUAAAACUCAAAGGAAUUGACGGGGGCCCGCACAAGCGUGGAGCAUGUGGUUUAAUUCGAAGCAACGCGCAGAACCUUACCAACCCUUGACAUCCUGUGUUA